rnacentral:misc_RNA from 1 species
GAUGAAGAACGUAGCGAAAUGCGAUAAGUAAUGUGAAUUGCAGAAUUCAGUGUAUCAUCGAAUCUUUGAACGCACAUUGCGCCCGCCAGUAUUCUGGCGGGCAUGCCUGUCUGAGCGUCAUUUCAACCCUCAUGCCCCUAGGGCGUGGUGUUGGGGAUCGGCCAAAGCCCGCGAGGGACGGCCGGCCCCUAAAUCUAGUGGCGGACCCGUCGUGGCCUCCUCUGCGAAGUAGUGAUAUUCCGCAUCGGAGAGCGACGAGCCCCUGCCGUUAAACCCCCAACUUUCCAAGGUUGACCUCAGAUCAGGUAGGAAUACCCGCUGAACUUAAGCAUAUCAAUAAGCGGAGGA